rnacentral:rRNA from 1 species
AUGCCUCAGUACGGCGAGUGAAGCGGCAACAGCUCAAAUUUGAAAUCUGGCCGCAAGGUCCGAGUUGUAAUUUGCAGAGGAUGCUUUUGGCGAGGUGCCUUCCGAGUUCCCUGGAACGGGACGCCAUAGAGGGUGAGAGCCCCGUACGGUUGGACCACCGAGCCUCUGUAAAGCUCCUUCGACGAGUCGAGUAGUUUGGGAAUGCUGCUCUAAAUGGGAGGUGUACGUCUUCUAAAGCUAAAUACCGGCCAGAGACCGAUAGCGCACAAGUAGAGUGAUCGAAAGAUGAAAAGCACUUUGAAAAGAGGGUUAAAAAGUACGUGAAAUUGUUGAAAGGGAAGCGUUUAUGACCAGACUUGGGCUUGGUUGAACAUCCGGCGUUCUCGCCGGUGCACUCUGCCAGUCCAGGCCAGCAUCAGUUUGUCCCGGGGGAUAAAGGCGGUGGGAAUGUGGCUCCCCCGGGAGUGUUAUAGCCCGCCGUGCAAUGCCCUGGGACGGACUGAGGAACGCGCUUCGGCACGGAUGCUGGCGUAAUGGUCAUCAACGACCCGUCUUGACACCCCGGACCA